rnacentral:lncRNA from 1 species
CUUCUGACCUUAUCCCACUCCUCCCUUGUUUCCCAUUGGUUUGCAAUCUGUCCCCUCCCCUGGUUCCUCCCCAAGAUUUCAAUUGGUGUUGUUGCUGUUUCAGGGAUUCUCCUGGGGCAGCACUCAUGGGGUUGGAGGUCCCUGUGGGGACUCAAUAAACCUUGGACUUUGCCCUUCAAGAGAGCCUGACUCCUGUCUCCUCUAUAGUCGCUGCAGGCUCUUCCAUCCAGCUGCUCCUCUGAAUCCCAGGAUUCGAAGGGGUGUCCUCCCGCAGGCUGUGAAUGUGUAAAGUCUUCUAGAGCUGUGAUCUCCAUCUCUUGUAACAACCAUUCAAGGAUGACCACCAGCUGUUACUGCAUCAAAUCAAAAACCAAAACAGAAACACAAAGAAAUGCAACAGAGUUUCCAUGGGAACUGCUGUGAAAUAUGUGAUGACUGCACAUUCUAUACUUAUCUCAGUGACUCUGAGGUACCUAUCUUAUCUGCAGACCUAGAACCAGCAAUUUCAUUAAGACAGUUGACAUCAAAGAUUUGGAGAUCCCUGAGGGCAUCUGAAGUGUUGCAGUACCUUUGUCUGGAAGAAACUCUGGAAGGGAUAAAAAUGACUUAAACAUAAACAGCGAUUUCCAAGCGGAAAGAUCUCCGAGUGUCAGAGCAGCAUAGCAAGGCUGCACAGCCUUUCAGAACAGAAACUGAAGAAAGAAUUUGCUUAGGUCAGUAGAAAGCUUCUGAGGUCACCAGAGCUCAGAUCUCAAUCCAGAUUCUAAUAUGUGUGCCUGUGGGCAUUCCUGUACUGCAAAAUGCAGAAUAGACACCACUCAAAUAGUUUUGAGGGAACUGUAAUUCUUGCUGGUGUAGCAUCAGUUAAAAUUACAAUAGAUGUAUGUGGGUGAUUUAGGCAGCACUAAUUAGUACCAUGCUGAGAGUGCUCUAUAACUCUUAAUUCAGGCAUUAGUUAAUUUGGCUUUGAGAAGCUUUUUUUACCAUGCUGCUUGGCUUGUUCUGGAAUGGCUAAUAUGAUUCCAAAUUAGUUUUAUACUAAAAAACCCCUUGAUAUUUGAAACUGAUAUAACUCCAUUGGGAAUAGCUACUCCAGCAUCUUAUUCUAGACUGUUUUGUGAAAUUGGUUAUAUUUUUUUCUGAAGGCAGGCAGAAGACAGUAUAUCUGUGCCAAUAGCUCAAGUACAUACAUAUACAGUACAAAGUCAGAUCUAAUGUAAUAAAUUUCUUAGAAAAAAAUGUCUGGGAAAACA